GAUGAACGCUGGCGGCGUGCCUAAUACAUGCAAGUCGAGCGAACAGACGAGGUGUUUCCUCCUUUUACGUUAGCGGCGGACGGGUGAGUAACACGUGGGUAACCUCCCAAUAAGACUGGGCUAACUUAGAGAAACCGGAGCUCAUACCGGUUAAUAUUUCGAACCGCAUGUUUCGAUAAUGAAAGAUGGCUUUGCUAUCACUUAUAGAUGUACCUGCGCCGUUUUAGCUCGUUGGUGAGGUAACGGCGUACGAAGGCAACGAUACGUAGCCGACCUGAGAGGGUGAGCGGCCACACUGGAACUGAGACACGGUCCAGGCGCCUACGGGAGGCAGCAGUAGGGAAUCUUCCGCAAUGGGCGAAAGCCAGACGGAGCAACGCCGCGUGAGUGAUGAAGGUCUUCUGAGCGUAAAACUCUGUUAUUAGGGAAGAACAAUCGUGUAAGUAACGGUGCACGUCUUGACGGUACCAAAUCAGAAAGCGACGGCUAACUACGUG
rnacentral:rRNA from 1 species